CCUACGGGGGUCUGCAGUGGGGAAUAUUGGACAAUGGGGGGAACCCUGAUCCAGCCAUGCCGCGUGUGUGAAGAAGGCCCUCGGGUUGUAAAGCACUUUCAGUGAGGAAGAACGCCUGGUGGUUAAUACCCAUCAGGAAAGACAUCACUCACAGAAGAAGCACCGGCUAACUCCGUGCCAGCAGCCGCGGUAAUACGGAGGGUGCGAGCGUUAAUCGGAAUUACUGGGCGUAAAGCGCGCGUAGGUGGCUUGAUAAGCCGGUUGUGAAAGCCCCGGGCUCAACCUGGGAACGGCAUCCGGAACUGUCAAGCUAGAGUGCAGGAGAGGAAGGUAGAAUUCCCGGUGUAGCGGUGAAAUGCGUAGAGAUCGGGAGGAAUACCAGUGGCGAAGGCGGCCUUCUGGACUGACACUGACACUGAGGUGCGAAAGCGUGGGUAGCAAACAGGAUUAGAUACCCGUGUAGUC
rnacentral:rRNA from 1 species